GGCAACGUGCCUGAGUGGUUAAAGGGUAUGACUCGAAUGGACAUCGCCAUUUCCUGCUAUCAUAUGGCUUCGGCCGCGUAGGUUCGAAUCCUGCCGUUGUCG
rnacentral:tRNA from 1 species